UACGUAGGGUGCAAGCGUUGUCCGGAAUUAUUGGGCGUAAAGAGCGUGUAGGCGGCCAGGUAGGUCGGUUGUGAAAACUGGAGGCUCAACCUUCAGAGGUCGACCGAAACCAUCUGGCUAGAGUCCGGGAGAGGAGAGUGGAAUUCCUGGUGUAGCGGUGAAAUGCGCAGAUAUCAAGAGGAACACCUGAGGUGAAGACGGGUUGCUGGGCUGACACUGACGCUGAGGCGCGAAAGCCAGGGGAGCAAACGGG
rnacentral:rRNA from 1 species